GCCGUGCGGGGCAGCGCGGCCGCCUCCUCGGGGACGCCAGCCGCACCAUGUCCAUGUGGGCGCUCCCGGGCCGGUAGCGGGGCACGAAGCAGGCCUUGCCCCGCCGGAAGAUGUCCCUGAUGAUGUCGCCGGUGUCCACCUCGUCGGCCAUGCUCAGGAAGACGGCGACGCGCCGCGCCCGCAGUGUGUCUAAGGCCCGUGACGUCGGAAACGGAGUUUCGUAGAGCGGCAUCACAACAGAACACAACGGAGCUGGUGGCGUCCGGGGCUUGUUGACGUCUAUCACGUCAGCGUACAGCAGCCUGAAGGGCAUCGAGUCUUGAUCCGAGGUUCCGGAGGACGGCACGGUCGAUGGGAAGGGUCCUCCUUCCUCCUGUCAGCCUGCGUAGGUGGCACCCGGGUGGCGGCUGCGUCGCUGAUGGCUGGAGCUCCGAUUUGGGAAAGGAAAAUGAAAACAAGGAGCAGAAGUAGGAAAUACCUGGAGAGAAAAAUUCCACUGAGCAUUGGAAGGACAAUCUUUGUCAUUCUAGUUAGAGACUCACCUUUGGAAAGGAAUUAUUAGGCCUCUCCUCUAGGCAACUUGGGUUUUGGAGGUUCUGGCUGAUGUACCCAAACAGGAAACAGUGGCCUGGCAAUAUUAUCAAGCCUCUGGUUGCACAAUAGUCACUCCCAGGAUAUAGUCUGUGAAACUAAUCACAAUCGCCCACAAAGAUGGAGGUUACUGGCUGCCCAUGUUGGGACGGUACUGACCACAGCCUGGGUGUCCUCCGUGUCCACGCGCCAUGGCGCCACCUAGUGGAAAAGGAUGCAGCCCCUACCAGUCAUUUGUUUUUGCACAAACAUUCUUGUCCCUAGGACACAAAACCAAAAAGCAUAAAAACGAGACCACAAAAUGGUGCUUGUCUGUGAUUGUACAUGACUUUGAUUUCCCUUUUAAUAUUUCUGUGCUUUCCAGACUCACACAUUGAUGAAAAGGUAUUUUUCAAUCAAACGAUUUUUAAAGACAUUUUUUGACUUUGGCCUUCAUCUCAUCAUUAUCCUUACUGUUUCCAAGAUUUGUGGCACCAAAAAAGUUUACAUCAGAAUCCUGGGAGCAUGUAUGCAUAAAUAAAUAAAUGUAUAUAAAAAAACACAAUAGAGCUUCACUUCUGGGUAUCUGUUUAAAAGGUGAAUGUAUUAACUUGGAAGAGUUAUGUGCACCACAGUAUUUGUUGUGGCAUUAUUUACAGUUGCUAAGACAGGGAAAAAACCCACUGACAGAAUCGUGGACAAACGUGAUGUGUACAUACAAUAGAGUACUAUUCAGCUAUAAAGGGUAGUGGAGAUUUUGCCAUUUGCAGCAUGUGGAAGGAACUCAGGGGAAUUAGUAAGGAGACAAAACAGAUUAAUGAUCAAAAAAAAUAAGCCAAUGGAUGUCAACAGAACUGAGGUGAUCAGAGGGGAACAGAGUAGGUGUGGAGGGUGGCUGGGAGUAAAUAAUUAAAUAAUUUAAAAAUCAGAAAUAAAGGAGAAAGUGUUCCAAAUUAUAUAGCCAUUAAUUGAUUCUGUAAAAAGUAGGUGAAUUCAUAGAAGUAGGAAUGAAGACUGUGAUGUUGCCUAUUGUCAUGAAACAGUUAAGUGUCUUUGAAAACAUUUCUCUAGUGUAUACUAAGAGCACUGUGGUCAAUCAAAUAACACUCUAUGUUGCAAAUAACAAAACGCAUGGAGUAUUAAGUAAUUAAAGAAAGGUUCUUAGACCUCACUAACAUCAAAGAGACAGUUGAUACCAAAUUACACAUGGUUGUAAAAACAUAUUUGCAAAAACCAAAAGCAACUACUACAAGCAAACAACAAAAAUGCUUGUUUUAAUAGAAAAUGUGGCUCUGCUUGUGAAAAUGACAACAGAAAAAAUGAACAUGGAAAGAAAUGCAGCAAAGACAGAGUGUGAUGUGGACACAUUCAGUUGGUUUCUGAUAAUAGUUACAAAUAUAAGAUAAAUUUUUAAAAAUGGGGCCUCCCCUGGUGGU